GGGCGCGGAGGUUCGAUUGAACCGGUCAACGGCGUCAAACUCAAAACUGUUUACUGUAUAGUGUUAAGCAUUUGGCGUCUGACAUCGAUAGUAGUCAUUGCAUAUUAUCCGUCAUUUUUUCGUUUUCCAUGUUGUAAUUUAUUUCGUCAAUGUCCAACGAUUACUCAUACCUCAUACGAAAUACAUUUACAAUUGUUAUUUUAACUGUUUUAACGUUAAAUUUAAUGCUUUUAUUGUUUUAAUAGUGUCAACUGACAAAACUGUGCGUAGUCUUUUGCCAUUUAUAUAAAGUUUUUACACUUCCGGUUUAUAUUGCCUAUUAACAUUGAUUAUUACCUACUGAGUUAAAUUUUGAAAUAUUUAAAAAAAAAAAUUUAAUAAUAUAUUGAUCGCAGUUUUUCUGGCAGCUAUAGUACAUACAGCACUGAAUUUGAAAAAGAAGUUCUUCACAUACUAACUUUUCUGAAAUUUGAUUUGAAUCAAAUAGUUAACAACCAAAGAGAUAUGGUUUAAAGAUUGGAAUUAAUAGACACUUGUUUAGAAAAUACAUCAACUCAACAUACGUCUACAUGUAACAAUAAAUCAUCUUCUUUAAAUGAUAUAUAGCAGAUUACAAUUUACCUCUUGAUAAUGUUAUCUUGAAGUCUUUGAUGAAAAAAUUUCUGGAGAUAUCAAUUUCCGUACAAAUUUAGUAAAUGAAAUUUCUUACAUAGGCGGUAAACAUGUUUAAGCAAUGACAAAGCGGGUUAUGGGAAAGUUAUUUAAAGAUAAAUUAUUAAAAGAUUUUUCAUACACCGGCAUAAAAGGAAAAAAAAGUUUUCAAAUUUGGCUUGUUCUGUAAUUUUUGGUAAGAUACAUUUUUAACAAAAUUACAAAAUUACAUUUAUACAAAAUUU